rnacentral:lncRNA from 1 species
AUUAAUUCUUUUACAAAACAAAUAAAAGUUCAAAGUAAUAAUUUUAAAUUAUGAAAAGAGAAGAAGUAGGAAAAGUAUUUUUAAUUCAACAUAUACAGAGUAAAACAAGAGAAGAAGUGUUAGUAAUUUAUUUUGAAACAAAUUGUAUCACGAGAAGAAGUGAUGAACUUUCUUACUUCGGUUGGAGGAGAUGAGAAACAACUUACAGCGGCAAUCUUAAUACAGCUUAUGGCCAAAGAAGUAUAUUUUUCAUACUCAAUGUAUGAAAGGAAACAAAAACAUCCUGCAAGGUUGUUAUAGAGUUGCGUUUACUCAUUUAUCGUUGUAUUCGUUCAUUUCGAAAUCGCUACUGACCAAAGUUUUAAAGAAAAAAUUAGCAGCUUUCUGGCGGCGGCCAUUAAUAGAGAUUACGGAAGAAACAAAAAAUGCCCAUAUCUGGUAGUGAGAGUUUA